GAUGAACGCUGGCGGCGUGCCUAAUACAUGCAAGUCGAGCGAACGGACGAGAAGCUUGCUUCUCUGAUGUUAGCGGCGGACGGGUGAGUAACACGUGGAUAACCUACCUAUAAGACUGGGAUAACUUCGGGAAACCGGAGCUAAUACCGGAUAAUAUUUUGAACCGCAUGGUUCAAAAGUGAAAGACGGUCUUGCUGUCACUUAUAGAUGGAUCCGCGCUGCAUUAGCUAGUUGGUAAGGUAACGGCUUACCAAGGCAACGAUGCAUAGCCGACCUGAGAGGGUGAUCGGCCACACUGGAACUGAGACACGGUCCAGACUCCUACGGGAGGCAGCAGUAGGGAAUCUUCCGCAAUGGGCGAAAGCCUGACGGAGCAACGCCGCGUGAGUGAUGAAGGUCUUCGGAUCGUAAAACUCUGUUAUUAGGGAAGAACAUAUGUGUAAGUAACUGUGCACAUCUUGACGGUACCUAAUCAGAAAGCCACGGCUAACUACGUGCCAGCAGCCGCGGUAAUACGUAGGUGGCAAGCGUUAUCCGGAAUUAUUGGGCGUAAAGCGCGCGUAGGCGGUUUUUUAAGUCUGAUGUGAAAGCCCACGGCUCAACCGUGGAGGGUCAUUGGAAACUGGAAAACUUGAGUGCAGAAGAGGAAAGUGGAAUUCCAUGUGUAGCGGUGAAAUGCUCAGAGAUAUGGAGGAACACCAGUGGCGAAGGCGACUUUCUGGUCUGUAACUGACGCUGAUGUGCGAAAGCGUGGGGAUCAAACAGGAUUAGAUACCCUGGUAGUCCACGCCGUAAACGAUGAGUGCUAAGUGUUAGGGGGUUUCCGCCCCUUAGUGCUGCAGCUAACGCAUUAAGCACUCCGCCUGGGGAGUACGACCGCAAGGUUGAAACUCAAAGGAAUUGACGGGGACCCGCACAAGCGGUGGAGCAUGUGGUUUAAUUCGAAGCGACGCGAAGAACCUUACCAAAUCUUGACAUCCUUUGACAACUCUAGAGAUAGAGCCUUCCCCUUCGGGGGACAAAGUGACAGGUGGUGCAUGGUUGUCGUCAGCUCGUGUCGUGAGAUGUUGGGUUAAGUCCCGCAACGAGCGCAACCCUUAAGCUUAGUUACCAUCAUUAAGUUGGGCACUCUAAGUUGACUGCCGGUGACAAACCGGAGGAAGGUGGGGAUGACGUCAAAUCAUCAUGCCCCUUAUGAUUUGGGCUACACACGUGCUACAAUGGACAAUACAAAGGGCAGCGAAACCGCGAGGUCAAGCAAAUCCCAUAAAGUUGUUCUCAGUUCGGAUUGUAGUCUGCAACUCGACUACAUGAAGCUGGAAUCGCUAGUAAUCGUAGAUCAGCAUGCUACGGUGAAUACGUUCCCGGGUCU
rnacentral:rRNA from 1 species